ACGAGUUCUCGUUGAUGAUCGGUGCUUGCACCGAGAUUCAACAUGGAACGAGUGGCGGACGGGUGAGUAACACGUGGGUAACCUGCCCUUAAGUGGGGGAUAACAUUUGGAAACAGAUGCUAAUACCGCAUAGAUCCAAGAACCGCAUGGUUCUUGGCUGAAAGAUGGCGUAAGCUAUCGCUUUUGGAUGGACCCGCGGCGUAUUAGCUAGUUGGUGAGGUAAUGGCUCACCAAGGCGAUGAUACGUAGCCGAACUGAGAGGUUGAUCGGCCACAUUGGGACUGAGACACGGCCCAAACUCCUACGGGAGGCAGCAGUAGGGAAUCUUCCACAAUGGACGCAAGUCUGAUGGAGCAACGCCGCGUGAGUGAAGAAGGCUUUCGGGUCGUAAAACUCUGUUGUUGGAGAAGAAUGGUCGGCAGAGUAACUGUUGUCGGCGUGACGGUAUCCAACCAGAAAGCCACGGCUAACUACGUGCCAGCAGCCGCGGUAAUACGUAGGUGGCAAGCGUUAUCCGGAUUUAUUGGGCGUAAAGCGAGCGCAGGCGGUUUUUUAAGUCUGAUGUGAAAGCCCUCGGCUUAACCGAGGAAGCGCAUCGGAAACUGGGAAACUUGAGUGCAGAAGAGGACAGUGGAACUCCAUGUGUAGCGGUGAAAUGCGUAGAUAUAUGGAAGAACACCAGUGGCGAAGGCGGCUGUCUGGUCUGUAACUGACGCUGAGGCUCGAAAGCAUGGGUAGCGAACAGGAUUAGAUACCCU
rnacentral:rRNA from 1 species